UAGAACGUCUACAUGGAUGCCUGACGCUAGCUGGUAGAUUUCCGGAAACUUCCAGAAGCUUGUGUGGUCGAUUCUUCAUCUAAAUACGUUGCAAUUGUGAGGUUCAUCCUUGUAACCGAAACAUCAGCAGCCCAGCAACAGCCCAGUGGCAGCAUACCCACCACCAGCAGCAACAGCUCAGCGGCAGCAGCAUCACCAGCAGCAUCACGAGCCCAGCAGCAGCAUCACUAGCGGCAGCAGCAUCACCAGCAGCAUCACGAGCCCAGCAGCAGCAUCACUAGCGGCAGCAGCAUCACCAGCAGCAGCAGCAGUAAUAUAGGCACCAUAGGAGUAGAAGAUUUGCCUCGUGGAGGACUAAUCAGUAAACCUUCCAGCAAGUCUAACAGUAAUAGGCUCAACUCAGAGGAAGUGGAGUCUCUCCUAUUGCACAAAAAUUAUGUCUGCCACUGGUGAAGAGGAUGGGAACAUACUUCAUCCACCUGAAAUUCAUGAAAUUCAAGAAAUUGAAGGACCACAAGCAAUUGAAACUCUCCUGAACUAUUGUCAGAUUAUAUUUAAAACUGUUCAACGAAUGGAAAAAAG
ensembl:lincRNA Gm15205 predicted gene 15205